UGGAAUGCAUCACAUCACAGCUAAUCACAUCAAGGAUGAACUUGUCACCAAUAGCCCUCUACAUAGUCCAACUGUGCCAGAACGUAGAAUGGGUCCUGGUCUUUCCCUUACAUAUCAUAACAUAACAGUGUCCAACUGUGCCAGAACAUAGAAUGGGUCCUGGUCUUUCUCUUACAUAGUGCCAGCGAACGUAGAAUGGGUCCCACUGGUCUUACAUUCCGUACCGUACAUAUCACAUCGUCAUAUCAUAGAUCGAGGGCUAUGGAUCAUCCAAUAUUC
rnacentral:lncRNA from 1 species